CCUACGGGUGUCUGCAGUCGAGAAUCUUUCACAAUGGGGGAAACCCUGAUGGUGCGACGCCGCGUGGGGGAAUGAAGGUCUUCGGAUUGUAAACCCCUUUCAUGUGGGAGCAAAUUAAAAAGAUAGUACAACAAGAGGAGGAAACGUCUAACACUGUGCCAGCAGCCGCGGUAAUAAAUAGGGCUUCAGCGUUGUUAGGAAUCACUGGGCGUAACGGGUGCGUAGGUGGUUUCGUAGGUCAGGUGUGAAAGGCGCGGGCUCAACCCGCGUACUGCAGAUGAGACUGGGAGACUUGAGUAAAGGAGGGGGAACGGGAAUGCUCGGUGUAGCAGUGAAAGGCGUAGAUAUCGAGAGGAACAC
rnacentral:rRNA from 1 species